rnacentral:rRNA from 1 species
AGAGUUUGAUUCUGGCUCAGGAUGAACGCUAGCUACAGGCUUAACACAUGCAAGUCGAGGGGCAGCAUUGGGGUAGCAAUACUCAGAUGGCGACCGGCGCACGGGUGAGUAACACGUAUCCAACCUGCCGCUUACUCGGGGAUAGCCUUUCGAAAGAAAGAUUAAUACCCGAUGGUAUAAAGAGUUCGCAUGUUCUCUUUAUUAAAGAAUUUCGGUAAGCGAUGGGGAUGCGUUCCAUUAGAUAGUUGGCGGGGUAACGGCCCACCAAGUCUACGAUGGAUAGGGGUUCUGAGAGGAAGGUCCCCCACAUUGGAACUGAGACACGGUCCAAACUCCUACGGGAGGCAGCAGUGAGGAAUAUUGGUCAAUGGACGAGAGUCUGAACCAGCCAAGUAGCGUGAAGGAUGACUGCCCUAUGGGUUGUAAACUUCUUUUAUAAGGGAAUGAAGUGAGGGACGUGUCCCUUUUUGUAUGUACCUUAUGAAUAAGGAUCGGCUAACUCCGUGCCAGCAGCCGC